GUAUCUGUUGCAUAGCAACUCUGAGCAAACGGUGCAACAUAGGAAGUGACAUUUGAAUUGGUAACUGGUUUGGUUGUGCAUCAGUCAUUCGAGGAUUUGCGACUAUAUAUAUAUACUGUCUGAAAUACGCGUGACAAGCCUCCUCACAAAUGGGAUAAUGUCUCAGUUCAACAUGUCAGCACAGCGUGGAGUCAAGAGGGGAUUUUCUAGCACUGCCCUCUACUCUGUUGUCACAGGAGGCUGAAAAGAUGCCGAUGAUCAAGGAAGCUUCAAAGAACGCAUUUUCAAGCCUAAAGGCUGCCUCAGGCAGGCGAGCCAACAAUCUCCGCAGUAAAUGUAACUCAGUGGCUACGAUGUUUUUAGGCGGAAACACGGACGGCGGUACAAUUUAACUCGCGCGGAGUGCCAGGCGAUAUCGCACCAAUAAAUAUAGCGCGAGAGAACUCGCUCGGAAUCAAACGGUGGCUUCACCAGUUCUACAUGGGGCCGGGCAUGACCAAAAAGCGACUUGGCUUUUCCCCGCAUCAACGUAAUUUCUGAGGUGAAUACAAGAUAGAUGCUUACACAGCCGCGCGACGCAUUUCAUGUAACCAGACUAAUCGUCACAGAAGCCGCCUUCUCUACCGGCACAGACAUCGCUCGUCAGGUUAUAUAGCAGCUACGUAUACUGCCAUGUGCUCGUGAAUGAGUAAUAUUAAGAGCGUAUUUAAGAAUGCAUUCUUAAUACGCUCUUGGUAAGAUGUACCAGAUGUACUUGGCUACUCUACAAUCAUGUAUGUAUGCGACUGUAGGUCACAACUGGCAUGUGCGUGGUUGCAUGGAUGUAACGGAAACUUGCAGUGCCACGGGAUGCUUGUGCUGGCAAUCCAACGCGUGGUAUAGCUAUAUAUACAUUACACUAAUAAUCAGUUUUUCGUUAUAGCUAAUCCAUGCAUGCUUUCGGCGUUUCAACUCAGCUUAUUCCAACGUAAAACUGAUCAAAUCAGCGAAGCAUGCACCUAUAUGCACCCUAAAUCUGACGCCGGAAUGAAAGAAAUUAGCAAAUAUACGCACGUCACUAUAUAGCGUAAAUGUAUGUUCAUAAUGACAAUAUCAGUAAAUAUAUCGAAUGCAUAUAUGCAAGGCACCGAUGGUGUACAAUAUAGUGGUAACGGACACCUGUUUUUAUGAUUCCUGACGGUUAGAACCCUAUCACGGUUGGAUCCCUAUCACGGUUGGAACUCGAUCACAGAUGGAAAGCUGUCACAGAUAUGUGUACGUUAAAGAAAGAACGGGCCAAUACCAGGCUAAAGUAUAACGAGGCGUCCGCGUACGUAAUCACUUCGCUACCCGCCUACCGAGACGAGGCGUAUACACAUGGCAGGAGACCAUGCGAUGGCGCGUUUGGUCCUCCCUUAAAGCGAGGAUUUCUCAUGUUUUUACCAAUUGUUUUCAUAUUUUUCUGGCCGUUCUGGUACUUACCAGUACUCCUUGCAUAGCAACAAAUGUAUGUAGUAAGGCUAACAUUUCAUAGAGCACUUGCACAUCAUUCAAUCUACCAAUAUGUGCAUCGAUCUACAUUUCAAAUUAGAUUUUUCUACGUAUACUAACAAAACUAGCGCGUGAUUUUUUCUCUCGCGAGAGCGGAACCCUGUCUCUACAUUAGGUUAAUUACCUUCGUAUAAAUUUUGAGGUAUACAGUCUAUAAAUAUUUGCGUCACGUAACUAAGUGCACUUGUUUUUUGUGGGAGCGUUUUAGAAUUACA